rnacentral:rRNA from 1 species
UAGUAUAGCACUUUAUACUGUGAAACUGCGAAUGGCUCAUUAAAUCAGUUAUCGUUUAUUUGAUAGUACCUUACUACAUGGAUACCUGUGGUAAUUCUAGAGCUAAUACAUGCUAAAAACCUCGACUUCGGAAGGGGUGUAUUUAUUAGAUAAAAAACCAACGCCCUUCGGGGCUCCUUGGUGAAUCAUAAUAACUAAGCGAAUCGCAUGGCCUUGCGCCGGCGAUGGUUCAUUCAAAUUUCUGCCCUAUCAACUUUCGAUGGUAGGAUAGUGGCCUACCAUGGUGGCAACGGGUAACGGGGAAU